AUAUGAUGAUGAGGGCAGCUUGCACAUACCCUCUUGAAUCUCUCCCAAUAUUCAUAUAAACCUUAUGCAUGUAGUUGUGUGAUUCUAGAAAUAUCUUUUCUGAUUGC
rfam:Lupinus angustifolius cultivar Tanjil contig_21690, whole genome shotgun sequence.